GGCGGGCUUCACCGCGUGGGCGCGGCAGUCGCCACUCACCGAGGUUGACGACCUUGAGCGCCGUGAAGAAGCGGUUCUGCCGGGCCAGGUCCUGCCAGGGAGCCUUGGAGCAGUGGCGUGGGUUCUCACUAUGUUGCUUAAGCUGGUCUAGAACUCAAGCCAGUCUCUCACUUCAGCCUCUUGAGUCGUUGGGAUUACAGGAGCCACCAUGUCCAACUAUGGAGUUUCGCUCCUGUUGCCCACGCUGGAGUGCAAUGGCAUGAUCUUGGCUCACCACAACCUCCGCCUCCUGGAUUCAAGUGAUUCCCCUGCCUCAGCCUCCUGAGCAGCUGGGAUUACAGGCACACACCACCAUGCCUGGCUAAUUGUGUAUAUUUAGUAGACAUGGGGUUUCUCCAUGUCGGUCAGGCUGGUCUCCAACUCCUGACCUCAGGGUCUUGCUCUGUCAUCCAGGCUGGAGUGCAGUGGCGGGAUCCUAGCUUAUUGCAGCCAGCCUCCAACUCCUGGGCUUAAGUGAUCCUCCUGCCUCAGCCUCCCAUGUAGCUUUUAUUUGGUAAAAGCCAGAUCACCAUUCUCCUCAAGAAACAAGAGGCUACAAUCUAAAAAACUAUUGAUAUCGCACCUAACAGGAAGCCAGAGUAGGUCCUCCGAAGGUGUUUGUUCAAUGAACUUGUCAUCCUCCUCAACUUAAAGCCUUUAGCUUUUCCAAUUUGGAGGCACAAAUAAGUGAGAACUUGGGGAUCCACUGAGGUCUGAGGCAUGGUGGUACCAGAGGAGAUGAAGGGGCUUUCAGCAUGAAGCUGGUCCCCUGUUGACAGCACACUGAUUUUCCCGUUGGGCUCUAUCAGCAUGUCCACUGUCAGUGUCUGAUGGGAAAAACAAGGAUUAUACUAAGAAUGGCCUCAGCACCAACGAAAAUUGUCUUCCUAUCCCUACAAAACAAACCAAAAAAAUACAGCGGGACCUGCAGCUCAUAUAUUCAAGCUUGCCUCCACUUUUUCCAGUGCCCACAUUUACCUCUCAGAGUGCAUCAACAAUCGUCAGGACGUUGGAAGGUUCCAAGACAUCUGCAGAAGGCAUGGGGCUCCACCAGCCUGGCCGAUGCACCCCAGAGAUUCUUGUCUACCAAAUGCUUUCUGACAUCCCUACAUGAAGGACUGGAGAGUGAAAAGGGCAAGACAAUGACCUGAAAAAGUAAGCAAGACUGUCAGCGUUGAAAGGAGCCAUGUGGACUAUCUAGGACAAAUGCCUCGUGUCACAGAAGAGGGAACGAGGGCUUCUCCAGUCACACUGGCAGGCUGCAGGUGCUCUCUGGCUGCCUCUGACUCCUGGACCAUGCUUGUUAAAAUACCAGGAUGGUAAAUUAGUGAAUUCCAAAGUCAGGAUUUUUGUUGGAUCUGGCACAGUCACAGGAAAGUCUGAGUCUUCUCAAGGGCAUCCCUGUCUCACCAAGGGGCACCAAGGACAGACGACCAGAAGCAAAUGGCGCAGUCACCGUCAGAGGAGAGUAAAACUCAUUCUGAAACGGUUCCAAAUGCCCAUGCCUGCUCUGUGGUUUUCAGCAAAGCGGACCUUUCCAAAAGACCUCCAACGGGGACUUCCUGGAUGUGAGAACACUAACCAAUUCUCGUUCCUCUCAUCUUUUGCUUUAUUCCUUCCUUCCACGCUGUUAUUGCGAAAAACUGGCAGUUAAAUUCAAUUGAUUCAAAAUAUUCGGGAUCCAUAUGGCCGCCAACCCUGGAGCUGAAGCGGCGAUAGCGCCUCACUGCUGUUUUCAAGCAUUUGCCUCUCCUCCAGUCCCCAGAUGGUGGGAGUAACAUUUAAACCUCCUUUUCUCUGCCUUGUACAAUAGACCUUGGCACCAUUUCAACUGUUUACUCCGGUAAUUAACAGCUCUGAUACCACAACAAUUACAACUCCUACACUCUCACCACAAUAAUGCUAUGAAUUAGUGAGAGCUAAUGGCUGGAAGGUAGAGUGUUUCCAGACUGUGAGAUCUGUGCAUUUUUAGAAUAAAAUAAAAGGUACAAACAGCACGCUUGCAGUAGACAAUGAUUACCUAGUAAUUAGUUUACACAAAGCUUCCUAUUUAAUGGCAAAACGCUGUAAUUAACGUGUGACAGAAAAUCAAAGGGUACUUUGUAAGCAUAUUAAAAAUUAACACUGCAGGCCCAUAGCUUUAUGUACUGAUUAGAAGCAUAUUAAAUCAAUAGGACACACAAACCAACAGCUUGUGUAGCUGAUUAUCAUAGGUCCUCAGAAGGGGUACCCUGGCUUUCAUUUCACUUGGGGAGGCAAUUUUCCUUCUCCUGUCAUCUUCCUCAGGCACAGAGAAACACCUCAAACUCAACCCUGGCAGCUUCAUGAAAAUAACCACUGAACUGGAAGAAAACAUUCUAAGUCAUUCUCAGAGAUGAAGACAAAUAUGUAAAUGAUUAAGACUUUCCAAUGAUUGUGGUGACGUGCUGCUACACUAAUUAGAAAAUACACCAACUGGAACCAGAAAAUAAAGCCACUGGGUUGCAAUCUUUCGGUCAGAAUAAUCUCUACUUUGUCAAGCCUCUUUAUUCAACUCAUAGAAAGUUCAAAUAAAUGGAACUGUUUUAUAUUUCUAAAUGAUAAGAAAGCAGGCUGCUAUGAAGACUUAUUCUUUCCAAGGCACUGUCUGGGUAAAGCAUAGGCUGGGAACAACUGGAUCAACCAACAUUCUGUAUCUUCAACAGCCACAACCCCAUGUAAUGAUGGCUGGUGGACAUAGACAGCAAUAUCCUGGAAGCCUACCAGAGCCUAAAGAACCUUCUGAAUCACCAAAGAAAGAUUAAGUUGUAUGUACUUGUUCAAUGUUACCUGUAUUUUGUUAUAAUACAAUUUUAUGGUAAUAAUAACAACAAUAAUAAUAGGUAGCAUUUCUUAAAAA